rnacentral:rRNA from 1 species
GACGAACGCUGGCGGCGUGCCUAAUACAUGCAAGUCGAACGCACUCUCGUUUAGAUUGAAGGAGUUUGCUCCUGAUUGAUAAACAUUUGAGUGAGUGGCGGACGGGUGAGUAACACGUGUGUAACCUGCCCUAAAGUGGGGGAUAACAUUUGGAAACAGAUGCUAAUACCGCAUAAAACCUAACACCGCAUGGUGUAGGGUUGAAAGAUGGUUUCGGCUAUCACUUUAGGAUGGACCCGCGGUGCAUUAGUUAGUUGGUGAGGUAAAGGCUCACCAAGACCGUGAUGCAUAGCCGACCUGAGAGGGUAAUCGGCCACACUGGGACUGAGACACGGCCCAGACUCCUACGGGAGGCAGCAGUAGGGAAUCUUCCACAAUGGACGAAAGUCUGAUGGAGCAACGCCGCGUGAGUGAAGAAGGUUUUCGGAUCGUAAAACUCUGUUGUUGGAGAAGAAUGUAUCUGAUAGUAACUGAUCAGGUAGUGACGGUAUCCAACCAGAAAGCCACGGCUAACUACGUG